rnacentral:lncRNA from 1 species
GCCAGAAAGACAGUUAAAAGAAGAGAAGGUUAAAAACAAAACAAAACAAAAAACACACAAGGGUUUCCUCUCACAGUUUUCAGCAUGAGAAAGCCUGAACCAUCCAAACUGUCAUCAUCAAAUGUGUCUUGUUGUUAGGGCCUGUGGAGUUGUGCUGUUGGUGCCCUGCCUUUUGUUCUGGGACCAUCAAUUAAAGGAGGAAAUUGGGAGGAAUCAAGGUGAUAGAAGAUCCAGAAAAUAAGAUCAGUGAGAACACUGAGGUCAUGUUGUUAUAUUUGCAUUUGCCUAAAACUUAUACCUUUUAAAAAACAUUUUUAACCUCGUUUGUUACCUCUGCAUGGACAGUUUCUAUUUUCCAUUACAGUUUUCACAUUUUAUACACGUUUCUCGGCAAUACCAGUUAAGUGUCCCUAUUGUUAGUUGUACGUAACACCAGCCCUGAGGAGCAAAUAGUGUUCUACUACACAGCUAAGGAACAUAAAAUCACAAUAGAAACUGCCAAUGUUAGUUAUCACCUUCCUUAGAGUCACACUGAUCUUUGCAGUAAAGGGUAGACAGGCAUCUUAAUAUAGAGGAGGAUGCUAGGCUUCAGGCCCAAGCUCCAGCACUCUGCAUCAGGGAAUGCAUGGCCAUGCAACCUGGGUAGUUUGAGAAGACUUUAACUGAGC